GUGGGGAAUUUUGGACAAUGGGCGCAAGCCUGAUCCAGCAAUGCCGCGUGCAGGAAGAAGACCUUCGGGUUGUAAACUGCUUUUGUACGGAACGAAACGGUCCUGGUUAAUACCUGGGGCUAAUGACGGUACCGUAAGAAUAAGCACCGGCUAACUACGUGCCAGCAGCCGCGGUAAUACGUAGGGUGCGAGCGUUAAUCGGAAUUACUGGGCGUAAAGCGUGCGCAGGCGGUGCUGUAAGACAGGCGUGAAAUCCCCGGGCUCAACCUGGGAAUUGCGCUUGUGACUGCAGUGCUGGAGUACGGCAGAGGGGGAUGGAAUUCCGCGUGUAGCAGUGAAAUGCGUAGAUAUGCGGAGGAACACCGAUGGCGAAGGCAGUCCCCUGGGCCUGUACUGACGCUCAUGCACGAAAGCGUGGGGAGCAAACAGGAUUAGAAACCCGUGUAGUCC
rnacentral:rRNA from 1 species